AGUGAACGCUGGCGGUAGGCCUAACACAUGCAAGUCGAACGGCAGCACAGUAAGAGCUUGCUCUUACGGGUGGCGAGUGGCGGACGGGUGAGGAAUACAUCGGAAUCUACUUUUUCGUGGGGGAUAACGUAGGGAAACUUACGCUAAUACCGCAUACGACCUACGGGUGAAAGCAGGGGAUCUUCGGACCUUGCGCGAUUGAAUGAGCCGAUGUCGGAUUAGCUAGUUGGCGGGGUAAAGGCCCACCAAGGCGACGAUCCGUAGCUGGUCUGAGAGGAUGAUCAGCCACACUGGAACUGAGACACGGCCCGGACUCCUACGGGAGGCAGCAGUGGGGAAUAUUGGCCAAUGGGCGCAAGCCUGAUCCAGCCAUACCGCGUGGGUGAAGAAGGCCUUCGGGUUGUAAAGCCCUUUUGUUGGGAAAGAAAAGCAGCAGGUUAAUACCCCGCUGUUCUGACGGUACCCAAAGAAUAAGCACCGGCUAACUUCGUG
rnacentral:rRNA from 1 species